rnacentral:rRNA from 1 species
CCUACGGGCGGCAGCAGUGGGGAAUAUUGGACAAUGGGGGGAACCCUGAUCCAGCCAUGCCGCGUGUGUGAAGAAGGCCCUCGGGUUGUAAAGCACUUUCAGUGAGGAAGAACGCCUGGUGGUUAAUACCCAUCAGGAAAGACAUCACUCACAGAAGAAGCACCGGCUAACUCCGUGCCAGCAGCCGCGGUAAUACGGAGGGUGCGAGCGUUAAUCGGAAUUACUGGGCGUAAAGCGCGCGUAGGUGGCUUGAUAAGCCGGUUGUGAAAGCCCCGGGCUCAACCUGGGAACGGCAUCCGGAACUGUCAAGCUAGAGUGCAGGAGAGGAAGGUAGAAUUCCCGGUGUAGCGGUGAAAUGCGUAGAGAUCGGGAGGAAUACCAGUGGCGAGGGCGGCCUUCUGGACUGACACUGACACUGAGGUGCGAAAGCGUGGGUAGCAAACAGGAUUAGAUACCCGGGUAGUC